UACGUAGGGGGCGAGCGUUGUCCGGAAUUAUUGGGCGUAAAGAGCGUGUAGGCGGUUCUGUAAGUCUGCCGUGAAAACCUGAGGCUCAACCUCGGGCGUGCGGUGGAUACUGCCGGGCUAGAGGACGGUAGAGGCGACUGGAAUUCCUGGUGUAGCGGUGAAAUGCGCAGAUAUCAGGAGGAACACCGGUGGCGAAGGCGGGUCUCUGGGCCGAUACUGACGCUGAGGAGCGAAAGCGUGGGGAGCGAACAGG
rnacentral:rRNA from 1 species